UUUCAUUUGUUUUUUAUUUUUAAGAAAAAACAAGAACAUCAAUCGUUAUAGUGGAUGAAAUCGAUAUUACUGAGUAAGAGGGGAUCUCUCGACCCUCAAUUGCCAUGAAAUAUUACUGGGUAAGAUAUCAUGUACCGCCUAAGCUUGCCGUUGGCUGUACCCUCAAUUGCCAAUAAAUCCUUUCCAUACCCGAGACUGUCUUAGUAUGAUAUUCACCUUCAGUUAUUAGAGUCUUUUCAUAUCACAUGAUAUCUUUCCCACACAUUUGAUGGGGGCAGUACUGUCUCAGAGAUAAAUGCAUAGGCCACACAAUGGGUCUUCCAGACUGCACAAGUACACUAGAGUAGAUUAUGAUGGAGCCAUAUUAUGGAUGGCUUAUAGUGGACUAGGUUUGUGGAAUCAGAGCAACAACAAAGCAGUGACUGUAGUAAAUACGAAUGAACGAGAUCAUAAGGUGAAUGAUGGCCAUUAUCCGUCACUCGGGCUCAAAGAAAGAAACCUUGAAGUAGAAAAACCAGGCUGCAGCUACCAACUUGGAGUAAAGGUAAAUUAGAUCCCAAUAUUCAAUACAUUGGUGCUGAAAUAAUUAAAGGUGCAAGCUUUUCAUAUGAAGAAGUGAAAGCAAAUAGAUACAAACAUGAUCAUGGAUAAGGUCGAGAACAGAUCUAGAGAAUGAUGGCGUUGGUCGUCUCGAUUCGAAAUUAUAUCGGAGUCACGAUUUUUUGGGUUAUCUAUCUAUCUAUAUAGAGAGAAAAAUAUAAAAGGAAAAUUACUAAAAAAACACACAGAUAAUUUCCAUUAACAUUAAUAAAGGAAACAAACCCAGAAAGUCAAAACGACAAUGGAACUUGUCGUUUUGAGUUCAUCCAAUGACACUGCUAAAUCUUGGUAGGCAUUGAUGCUGCUAUGUAUGUUGACAUCAUUGUAGAUAUCAGCAACGUUGUUCCACAUUCAAAACAAGAGCUGAGAAAAUGGAAGGAUAAAGAGUGGUGAUAAUGGAGUGAACAUAUAGAAAAUUCACGUAAGAAGCUUUCAAGGGUCGAAGGAGAAAGAAGCCGAGUCUAACAGAGUCAUAAGGAACGGGAAACAAACCCAAUCCCAUAGUCACAUAUAAGUGAGUUUGAUAUGACCAAGUUAAUAAAGGAAAUUACAUAAACUAGAUGACCAAGUUUGAUAUCUCAAAAUUUUCGUCAAUGAAGAUUACAAGUACAUGACUUUCAGCAACCAACUACAAGAUUAACCGGAAUUGAAAUUGUUUCAGGAAACAAAAGAUGGUCAGAGACGGCCGAUAAACUAAAGGUUCAAGCUUUCUCAAAAUUUUGGAUUGGUUAAAAGGUUUGUGCUUUACGCUCGAAUAAUUCAACUGCUGGAUUACACAGAAUGUUACAAACACAAAAUUGAAUGGAAGCAAGAGAAGCAGAGAGAGAGAGAGAGGAAAAAAAUAUAUAGAUUUGAGCAAAGCACACAGGCAUUAAGGAUAAUUCAGAGAGAGAUUUAGAACAUUCAAAGACAAAUACGAACCCGUGCGUGCGUGAUGGCGAAGGGCAAAAACAGGUACAGACUGAUUCGGGAUUUAGAUCGGAGUCUCCGAUGGAUUCAGAACUAAGUUUUUGGACUUCUGUUCCCGUCAAUUAGAGAUAAUAUAUACAGAUAAUUUCUUUUUCGAUGUAAAAAAAAAAGAAAUACAGUUUCCUUUUUUAUUUAAGACAAUGGAUAGUAAUUAGGA
rnacentral:lncRNA from 1 species